UACGAAGGGUGCAAACGUUGCUCGGAAUUAUUGGGCGUAAAGCGCACGUAGGCGGCAUUGCAAGUCGGAUGUGAAAUCUUAUGGCUUAACCAUAAAAGUGCAUCCGAAACUGCAGUGCUUGAGUACUUAAGAGGAUCGCGGAAUUCCCGGUGUAGAGGUGAAAUUCGUAGAUAUCGGGAGGAACACCAGUGGCGAAGGCGGCUACCUGGCCCGCUCUUGACGCUGAGGCGCGAAAGCUAGGGGAGCAAACGGG
rnacentral:rRNA from 1 species